rnacentral:ncRNA from 1 species
UAGACCGACGCCAAGGUGCCCGAUGGACAGGCUGGUCACGAGAAGACCAUCACCUCCCUCCUCGCAGCACUCGCUGGCGUCAACAUGAUCUACGGAUCC